rnacentral:tRNA from 1 species
GCCCGAGUGGCGGAACGGCAGACGCGGUGGACUCAAAAUCCUCUGGGGGUAACCUCGUGAGAGUUCAAAUCUCUCCUCGGGCACCA